UAUGCCUUCCAACUUUGUCGCCAAGUUUUUCUCGUAAGAGAAUUUGUCACCGAUUCAUUUGUUUGAAUCAAAAACUCUGCUACAAGAUGUGAUUUGGAAUAAUGAAAUAGCCUUGCAAGAAGACGGACAAAAAGGGAAUAAAGAAAAAGUAAAUAUAAUAAAGAAAGGUGUUAAAAAAGAAAAGACUUCAAGUCAAACAGCGUAUCCAGAGGUAUUCAAAGAACCAGUUAAAUCAGUCCUAUAACGGAUGCAAGAUACAAAGCUGAAUUAAAAUAACGGCUGAUUGAAAAGCUCACUUGAAGYUCAAUCACCGAAGUGAAAGAAUGUCAACAACGAACACCACGAAGAGAACAACUCCACUUUCUCCUCGAGCUUGAAAAGGGCUCAAUGUCUUGGGAAAMGAUCCUUGAAGUUGUUCACGCAAGRAUUUGAAAAGUCAACGCCAAUUCGUGCCUCAGCUUGAAGCUUCGCUUUGUUGUUCGCCCAAUUCAAAUGAAAAGGCUUUCAAGUGUUGAAAAAUUUAUUACCCAAGAGUGCAUGAAGAACAAAGAAGUACAUUACUAAAGGAGCGACAAAACAAAAGAGAGAUAAAACUACCCAAUCAGGGUUAUUCUCGGUGCAGUAACGGACAAUAAACAGGAAAACCACAUACGGUUUACUCAGAAAAUCACAAAGGACUUUGAAUUUAAAGGUUUCGGUCAUAAAGCAAAUAUUAUUGUAACUCUUUCAUCYUUUAUAAGCCUCUCUUCUCUUGUUCAGCUUGUUUUGAAACUAAUGUUUCGGAUUGUUUGAAUGUGACGUUGGAUAUUGCUAUGGUAACGUGCAAGUUUCCAAGGACGACAUACACUGGUCAAGUAAGAACUCCUUAACUUGUCUGCGUGCAAGAGCUUUUAAAACACUGUAACUGCUAAUAAAAGAAAACCAUCAUGGAAGCUUUGCAUUGUAAUUUGGGAAAAUUCUAUAGAUUAACCAGAUAACCUUGCAAAAGUAAGAGAGCAAAAUGAAUGGUACUGAAUUUCAAUAUCACUUUUUAACCCAUAAUCCCCUGAGGCGCGUGUCCAACCACCAAUUAUGAGAAGGAAAAAACGAAAUAAAUGU